GGGCGGUUAGCUCAGCUGGUUAGAGCACCUGAUUUACAUUCAGGUGGUCGUUGGUUCGAUCCCAGCACCGCCCA
rnacentral:tRNA from 1 species